rnacentral:rRNA from 1 species
GGGGUAAAAUCCGUCAGCAGAUUACUAGGCAAUACCGAAAGCCGCACAGGCGAUCUUCCUGGAACAGGACUGACGCUGAGAUGCGAAAGCGUGGGGCGAGCAAACAGGAUCUAGAUACCCUGGUAGUCCACGCCCUAAACGAUGAAUGUUAUCUCUGUUGGAUGCUACCCACUUCAGUGAUGCAGCUAACGCAUUAAACAUUCCCGCCUGGGGAGUACGGCCGCAAGGUUAAAAACUCAAAGGAAUAGACGGGGACCCGCACAAGUGGUGGAGCAUGUGGUUUAAUUCGAAGAUACGCGAAGAGCCUUACCUGGCCUUGACAUAUACCAGAAUCUGCCAGAGAUGGUGGAGUGCCUUCGGGAGCUGGUAUACAGGUGCUGCACGGCUGUCGUCAGCUCGUGUCGUGAGAUGUUGGGUUAAGUCCCGCAACGAGCGCAACCCUCGUGACUAGUUACUAACAGCAUAGGCUGAGGACUCUAGUCAGACUGCCUUCGUAAGGAGGAGGAAGGUGGGGACGACGUCAAGUCAUCAUGGCCCUUACGGCCAGGGCGACACACGUGCUACAAUGGGGAGGACAAUGAGAAGCGAAAUCGCGAGAUGGAGCAAAUCUAUAAACCUUCUCUCAGUUCGGAUUGUAGUCUGCAACUCGACUACAUGAAGCUGGAAUCACUAGUAAUCGUGAAUCAGCCAUGUCACGGUGAAUACGUUCCCGGGUCUUGUACUCACCGCCCGUCACACCAUGGGAGUUGAUUUCACCCGAAGCGGGGAUGCUAAAUAGGCUACCCGCCACGGUGGAAUUAGCGACUGGGGUGAAGUCGUAACAAGGUAACCGUAGGAGAACCUGCGGCUG